GACGAACGCUGGCGGCGUGCUUAACACAUGCAAGUCGAACGGAAAGGCCCUGCUUUUGUGGGGUGCUCGAGUGGCGAACGGGUGAGUAACACGUGAGUAACCUGCCCUUGACUUUGGGAUAACUUCAGGAAACUGGGGCUAAUACCGGAUAGGAGCUCCCGCUGCAUGGUGGGGGUUGGAAAGUUUCGGCGGUUGGGGAUGGACUCGCGGCUUAUCAGCUUGUUGGUGGGGUAGUGGCUUACCAAGGCUUUGACGGGUAGCCGGCCUGAGAGGGUGGCCGGCCACAUUGGGACUGAGGUACGGCCCAGACUCCUACGGGAGGCAGCGGUGGGGAAUAUUGCACGAUGGGCGGAAGCCUGAUGCAGCAACGCCGCGUGCGGGAUGACGGCCUUCGGGUUGUAAACCGCUUUCGCCUGUGACGAGGCGUGAAUGACGGUAAUGGGUAAAGAAGCACCGGCUAACUACGUG
rnacentral:rRNA from 1 species